AUGCUCGAAGGCGACGUUGAGGGCGGUGUGAGUGGUGUGGGUGACGGGCGGCGCGCUCCCUCUCUUCCCCGGGACGGACGCAGGUGGAGCUGCGGGAUACGGAGCGGCCGUCGCCGCCAGCCCACCAUGAGCACGACGGCGAGGACAAGGAUUGGGCCCACGGGCUUGGAGUCGCCGUUCCAGUCCAGUUGGCGAGGCCGGCUGUCGGCGCAGGACGCCAACGGGCUCGUCGUCCUUGUCUCACGGCCGCGCCCCGAUCUUUCACCCAGUCGGGAAUGUCUACCCAGUUGCACGAACGAGCAUCAGAUCGCUUGA
rnacentral:rRNA from 1 species